rnacentral:tRNA from 1 species
GGGCGCGUAGCUCAGUUGGUCAGAGCGCGUCACUCACAUUGACGAGGUCAGGGGUUCGAGUCCCUUCGCGCCCACCU